AGUGAACGCUGGCGGUAGGCCUAACACAUGCAAGUCGAACGGCAGCACAGUAAGAGCUUGCUCUUACGGGUGGCGAGUGGCGGACGGGUGAGGAAUACAUCGGAAUCUACUUUUUCGUGGGGGAUAACGUAGGGAAACUUACGCUAAUACCGCAUACGACCUACGGGUGAAAGCAGGGGAUCUUCGGACCUUGCGCGAUUGAAUGAGCCGAUGUCGGAUUAGCUAGUUGGCGGGGUAAAGGCCCACCAAGGCGACGAUCCGUAGCUGGUCUGAGAGGAUGAUCCGCCCCCCUGGAACUGGGACACGGUCCCGACUCCUACGGGGGGCCGCAGUGGGGAAUAUUGGACAAUGGGCGGAAACCUGAUCCAGCCCUACCGGCUGGGUUAAGAAAGCCUUCGGGUUUUUAAGCCCUUUUUUUGGGAAAAAAAAGCAGCCAGUUAAAACCCCGCUGUUCUGACGGUACCCAAAGAAUAAGCACCGGCUAACUUCGUG
rnacentral:rRNA from 1 species